UACGUAGGGUGCAAGCGUUGUCCGGAAUUAUUGGGCGUAAAGAGCUCGUAGGCGGUUUGUCGCGUCCGCUGUGAAAAUCCAGGGCUUAACCCUGGACCUGCAGUGGGUACGGGCAGACUAGAGUGCGGUAGGGGAGAUCGGAAUUCCUGGUGUAGCGGUGAAAUGCGCAGAUAUCGGGAGGAACACCAGUGGCGAAGGCGGCCUGCUGGACAUUAACUGACGCUGAGGCGCGAAAGCGUGGGGAGCAAACAGG
rnacentral:rRNA from 1 species